rnacentral:rRNA from 1 species
GGAAUAUUGGUCAAUGGGCGCAAGCCUGAACCAGCCAUGCCGCGUGCAGGAUGACGGUCCUAUGGAUUGUAAACUGCUUUUGUACGGGAAGAAACACUCCCUCGUGAGGGAGCUUGACGGUACCGUAAGAAUAAGGAUCGGCUAACUCCGUUCCAGCAGCCGCGGUAAUACGGAGGAUCCAAGCGUUAUCCGGAAUCAUUGGGUUUAAAGGGUCCGUAGGCGGUCAGGUAAGUCAGUGGUGAAAGCCCAUCGCUCAACGGUGGAACGGCCAUUGAUACUGUCUGACUUGAAUUAUUAGGAAGUAACUAGAAUAUGUAGUGUAGCGGUGAAAUGCUUAGAGAUUACAUGGAAUACCAAUUGCGAAGGCAGGUUACUACUAAUGGAUUGACGCUGAUGGACGAAAGCGUGGGUAGCGAA